rnacentral:lncRNA from 1 species
GGCCACACCCACAACAUAUGAAAAUUCCCAGGCCAGGGAGUGAAUCCGAACUGCAGCUGCAACCUAUAUGACAGCUGCAGCAGCACUGGAUCCUUAACCCACUGCACUGGGUCAGGGAUCACGCCCACACUGCCACAGAGACAACACCUGAUCUUAACCCACUGUGCUAUAGUGGGAACUCCCACACAAUGGAAUUCUAUGCAGACAUUAAAAUCAUAUUGUAAGGGAUUUUUUAAUAUGGAAAGUUGUCCAUGGUAUGUUAUUGACAGAAAAAAAGCACAUUUAAAAAAACCAGCAUGGGUAAAAAUCAUCAUUUUGAUUUAAUAAAUAAAUUGUGUGUGUGUGUGUCUACACAGAAAAAUCUGAUAGGCAUAAAUACUGACAUGGUUAUCUGUGAGAGAUAAAAAUAAGGAUAGUUUCACACCCUUCUCAUACCCUUUCUUUUUUUCCUCAACUCACAACAUUUUAAUAUUGUAAUGUAAUUUCUCAGUUUUAAAAUUUUUUUCUCCAAAGUUGGGAACAGCCGUUCCCCAUCCCCAUUCCAGGUCCCUCUUAGCUUCAGAACCCACACCACUUAUGAAUCCAGUCCAACCAAGAUACAACAGUGGAAAGGGAAAACCGACCUUCAGUGCCUUGUAGGUUUCAAUUUCCGCCAUUUGUGCUGGCCACCCACCACCACCUCCGAGGAAGCUCCCACCAGAAACUGAUAACUGAGUUUCACCUAGUACAACCAGUUACAUCCAUCAAACCUAUUUCUUCGGGACAUCUGCUUCCACGUGUAAUGGGACUAGGUUAUCUGGUAGAACGAUUUCUUAAUGCAAAAAUUAAGGUAAUGCCUCAUCUGUCAUCGUUCACAGGAAUAGUUACAUUUUGAAGUAAAUAUCAACACACAGAAAUACCUCUAAUGUGACAUGGCAGCUUUCAAGAAACAAGACCAUGUUGAGAAUGUAUUUCCCUCUGACGGGGGAGAGGUGACGCAGGAGAGAUGACACAAUGACAGCCAGCAAUGUUUGGCUGUUUUGUGCCUCAUACUGUACUUUGUAGAAUUAAAAAUCCUUUGUGGGAUUAAGGAAUAUAAAUACUGUAAACAACAUAUGUAUAUGCUAUUGCUAUACCCACUUCAUAGAUGAGAAAACAGAGGCUUAAGGAGUUUAACACUCGCCCAAGGAUAUAUAAACAAUAAGUAGCAGAGCUGGGAUCCUAUAACAGGUGGCCUGGCCUAGGUUUCUGCUCCCUAACUGACUAUGUCAGGGACUAUGUGGUUUAUGGAGCAUCUGAAAUUCACAGCUCAAUUUAAUUCAGUCUCCAACAAUGAUCAGAGUAGUGUCUGGGGUAGGUGAUAUUAUGGGUGAAUAAAACAUGAUCGGGAACCCUCGAGAGGCUUAUCCUGAUUUAGCAACCUAUUCCAGCCACGGAAGAAGAAAAACCAACGUUCUCAAGUAUUACCAUCUUCUAGACUAGCAGAUGUCAAAUUGUGGUCUCUGGACUAGCAUCGCCUGAGAUCUUAUUAGAAAUGCAGGCCCCAACCCCAGACUCACUGCAUCAGAAUCUCUGGGAACGGGGUCCAGGAUCUGUGUCUAGCAAUACCCUCCCGGAAAGACGACGGGCUUUAGGCACCCUUCCUGUGUGUCACAGGAGUUAGUUCUCUCAUUGGUCCUCACAACAGGUUUUUAAAGCCAGCUCAUAAUUCCAGAUGAGGAAACUGAGGAAUGGGGCACUGGAUUGAUGAUGUCCCAAAGCAACAGCAGUUAAGCAAUAAGGCUGGAAAUCUAACCCACUUCUGUGAGGGGCUCCUGCUAAGGUGAGGUGAAUGGGACAGAGAGAGCACUUCUUUUGACUCUGCUCCCACUUAAUCGCAACCGUCUUGUUUGCAGGUGGCUGCACCAUUAAAAACACUCUACAAAGGUGUAUCAAGGAAUGCAAUUUAAUGAGAAACUCAGAUGCAUGUGGGCACUUACCUCAUAAUAACAUUCUACUUAUGAAAGGAUGCUAUAGUGUAAUUAGACUCCGGGAGGCCAAGCAAAAGGGGAAAAAGUGGCUCUUAUUUUAACUGCUUCACAAUAAUGGAGUGUUGCCCGAGAGUUAUUCACACAACAGAUGCUGUGAAGAUGUGUGCUGAUUCUGUGGGUUGCGGCAUAACCCUCUGCGAUGGACCCUCCAGUCCUCUGGCACACAGACAUAAGUCCUCCCUAAGCAAUGUGUAGUGCUUGCAGCACAACUAUAAAUCGAAGCUAAUGGGAGAAAACGCAGCUCCUCCACUCAGGCUUUCUGAAAAUAUUUGCCUGCGACGUUUUGUGCCACAGAGAUUGCAUGCACACAUACGAAAAGACAGUAUUCAUUCCGGGCUGGCUUCAUUUGGAGAGCCAGAUUAGGGAAGGUAAUCAAGAACAUUUCACUGUUACCUAGUAAAUAAGUUAAAUGGUCCCUGCGGUUCUUCAUUAAAACUUUUAUGGUAUGUUCAUCAAUUACCAAACAGCUUGAACAAAGCAGAGGUAAAUUAACUUUCUCACAUCCACACGGCUUGCCAAAAAGAGGGUUCUCAACGCAAUUCCAUUGGUUUAAAGUUCAUCCAAAAUACUAUUAGCUUAGAGUCCAAUUUUGAACUGUCAAGGGGAAUAUAUACAAUGGUAAUUUCAGAUCAUUAUCAUGGCAUUCCAAUGCAAAUGGCCACAAUUUAAUUCAUUAUCACUAACAUUAUAUCUUUAUUUUGCUACCAACUGGUGACUGACAUUUCCAGGGCCACAAGAAGCAAAUGCUAAUUAGACCAUGGUGUACUCUUACCCUUUCUUCUUUUGCUGCAUUUUUCCAUCUUCAGGGAGACCCCGCAGGAGGCUACGUCUGACCAGCUGCUGGCCCUUGACACUCCUUCUCCUGGGCCCUGAGCCAGGCUACCAUUCCUGGGACAAAGUAAAGCUCCUGUGAAUUUCCCCGUUCUGUGCACUGUGCCUCCGAAAGGGAGCCUAUGCAAUGCAAUGACCCCUUCCUUAGAUCACCCACCAACCUAAUUUAGAAAGUCUAAAGCACUCCAGGGUGACAGAGCACAGGCAUUAACAUGCAAACAAACGGCCACAAAAGUUCAAAUUUGCAUUUAGACUGGACAAAAGGGAAAGAAAUGGCUUUCUAUGCUGUUCCUUGCAUCAUCAGAGUUUCACAAAUUACUAAUCUCUGAAAUGAUGCCAGAAGGGAACUUGCUCUGCUCCUCUCAUUCAUGCUUAGGUGGACUCAAUUCAUCUCUGAAAAUCACGCCUUUUCACUCUCAACAUGAGAUGAGAAAGAGCUGUAAAAUCUCAAAUAGCUCCAGUGAAAUGUUUAAUGUGUUCAAAUGAAAGCAAUUAGUAAGUACAAAUUUGAAAUUCCUCAGAUCUUUGGGCUACAGACUCAGGGAACAGACAUAAAACAUGGAUUUUCUUUCCAUUUCCUUGAUACGUCACAAUAAUUCUACCUUGUCUAUCUCUAAAAACUCUGCAAAAAUGUUAUUCAUUCUCUCAUUAUUUAGCCACAAUAAUAAUAAUGAUAGAUGGUCAUUAUAGGCCAGGUACCCAGCAACUAGCUUUGCGUACUUUGAUGUUCAAAACAAUCCUGAAAGACAUAAAUUGGGUUAUCAAUGAGGAAGAGGAGUUGGCUAGUACAAACUGUUGACUUCAAGGCUCCUUCAAGGAGACGGAACUCAAAGUUAUCUUCGGGCCAAGACAAAAAUUACCAGACCCUUAUCAUCAGCCCACCCACCUCACUGUAACGCCUCUUCCCCCACCCCGAGGAACCUGGCCUACUCCUUCCUACCCCCUACUAGGAAAGGCAUGUGGCCCCUCCUCACCAGGCCCUACAUGGUAUUAUACACCCCUAACAAAUCAGAAAGCAUAUCUUAAGACCCCUCCUUCCCCAACCAAUCAGCAGGUGAAUGGGUAUAUCCUGAGACCUCUCCUCUCCCUGGGCUAUAACCAGACACAACCACACACUCAAGGUCGGCUCUCCCUGAUUAUCAGGAAGUCAGUCCACUGUUUUAAUAGCAUCUUGUCUUUUCUUCACUUUGCUUGGAAUCUGGCAAAUUCUUCUUUCCAAGCUAUGUGGGCAUAUCAUGACCCAAAAGAUAAUAGUAACUCUAGUUAGUCAGGGUGAUGGGUUCCUUCUAUUAACUGUUUUCUCUUUCCUACGUCUCUAUGUAUUUCUCUACUUGUGUUUCUUUCACUUCCCAAGUCAACCCUUUUCAUUCAAAUCCUUGUCAGAGUAUGGCUCUGGAGAAACCCCAAUUAGGACAACAGAAGAUAGUAUGAUCGAGCAAUCAAAACUUUACCUGCCCCAUGCAUUGAAUGUGAAAUGAAUACAUAAACUAUUUCGGUAUCACCAGAGCAAAAAGUAGAUGGAUGACAAGGAGUUCAAAAAUGAAUAAAUCUGAAAUGCUUUUCUCUGUACUGAAAUCCACCUAGGCUAGAAAGAAUGUAUCCUUUACCAUGACUGAUACAUUUAUAAUUUAAGGUUUCAAGCACAGUUACAAUUAGGUAGGUGUACCUGGCUUGGAAUUAUGCUUUAGAAAGUUGGCAUGUAGAAAGCCACCGCUGUACUUAAAAUACCUAAUUUUGAAUGCAGCCUUCCAAAAACAUGAGCUUGGGCCCCGGAAAGGAUGCACUUCUCAUUAACAACUUUCCAAAACUAGUUUCCUUCAUCCGAAACCUAAUCAUUAAUAAAUUUCACUUGAAUAACUAUAUGCUUGGCCUGAAAGAAAAAUGAGGCUUCAUGUGUUACAUGUGCCAUUGCUCCCUACUUCUAAAAAAUAAGUGUCCUGCUGAAAAAAACCAUGUGUCCUGGGGCCCGAGACUAAUAGGAGUUUCAAGGCCUGUUUUAUGUUUGCAAGUUAAUCUUUCUUUGUCCUCCAUCUCAGCCAGCAAAUACAAUAUCAUAAUAACACAACUCGUCCCUGUGUUUUUGAACUUGGCUUUGGAUUGGGGAUCAUUGUGUCUUUGCUUUCAGAUGGCUCACUUUGAUGUAUUCUAUUUCAAAGGAAGAGAUAAAACCCAAAGUUCAUUCUCACAAUGGGACACCCUUUAGAGCCAAAGAGAAAUUUUGGUCCUCUUUGUGGCACACAGCAGCCCAGAUUCACUUUGAGAUCCUCUCUUGAAAGUCCCUGGGCAAGUGCAAAACGGCUUCAGUGAUUUAUUUUGCCACUGAGAGAACAGAAUUGCUGUGGCCCCCUCCAUUGCACCAGUGGGCAGACUCAAAUUGUGGGAGUGAAGCAGGGAGAAGACCUCAGGGGAAAAGGCAUCCUCAUUGCCUCUUCCUAAUUACUAGCCAUGUAGCUAAGCUCUUCAGCACUCGUGGUUCCACUGCGUAUACACAGCAUCUAUAUACAUCUUUGGAGGUCUUCAUCUGGACAGGAGGAAGGAAGGAUCCAUUCAAAUUUACUUUCUUAUCUCUCUUUUACUCUCUCUUUCUCCCUCUAACUCAACUAUAAUUAUAGCAAAGAAAAAAGACUAUUUUGGGAGUUCCCAUUGUGGCUCAGCAGAAACAAAUCUGACUAGUAUCCAUGAGGAUGCCAGGUCGAUACCUGGCCUUGCUCAGUGGGUCAGGGAUCUGGCGUUGCCAUGAGCUGUGGCAUAGGUCACAGACGCAGCUCGGAUCCCACGUUGCUGUGGCUGUGGCAUAGGCUGGAAGCUGUAGCUCUUAUCUGACCCCUAGUCUGGGAACUUCUGUAUGCCACAGGUGCAGUCCUAAAGAG